rnacentral:rRNA from 1 species
UGGGGAAUUUUGGACAAUGGGCGCAAGCCUGAUCCAGCAAUGCCGCGUGCAGGAUGAAGGCCUUCGGGUUGUAAACUGCUUUUGUACGGAACGAAACGGUCUCUCCUAAUACGGGGGGCUAAUGACGGUACCGUAAGAAUAAGCACCGGCUAACUACGUGCCAGCAGCCGCGGUAAUACGUAGGGUGCGAGCGUUAAUCGGAAUUACUGGGCGUAAAGCGUGCGCAGGCGGUUUUGUAAGACAGAUGUGAAAUCCCCGGGCUCAACCUGGGACCUGCAUUUGUGACUGCAAGGCUAGAGUACGGUAGAGGGGGAUGGAAUUCCGCGUGUAGCAGUGAAAUGCGUAGAUAUGCGGAGGAACACCGAUGGCGAAGGCAAUCCCCUGGACCUGUACUGACGCUCAUGCACGAAAGCGUGGGGAGCAAACAGG